GUCUGGGGGUGGGGACGGUGACCAGGAACAGCUCCCAGCCAACCAGCCUGGCCACCCUGUCCUGCCUCCGGGCCGCUCCACCAAGUCUCCUCGGGCUCCUCGGCCUGUCCCCUCCCUCGUCGGGGGCCAGGGCUCCCCCAGAGGUUUAGUGCUGCAUCAAGUGCCUGCAAGGGUGGGGUUAAACCCAUUUCACAGAUGAAGAACCAGCCGCUCUGAGAGGGAAAGGACUAAGCAAGGUCACGUAGCCAGGGGGCCCUGGAGCCGGGAUCUGAACCCACACCGCGAGGGGCUGUCCUAGCACCAAACACCUCCACUGAGUGACCGCCUACGGAGGAUGACAUCUGCCACACAGCAGCCAGGAGCCACGCCAGGGUCUUUCCACGCGCUACCUCGGGCCUUCGCACCACGGCCGCGGAGAGAGGUGCCACAGUAGCCCCAUUGUACAGAUGAGAAAACGGAGGGCACCGAGUCUCAAAGUUCUCCCUGGCUUGAAUAUCUGGGCUGGCCUGGCGCCAAUCUCUCGCCCCCACCCCUCACUCCAGCCACCUGGAGCCUCUGCCACCUCCCUGUGCCUACUGGCUCAUCUCCCAAUGGGAACAGGACAGUCCUAUGCACGGUCUGGUGUUUACAAGGAUGAAGCAAGGAGCUGGAAGAUCACGAGAGCGCCCAGCACACGGCGAAUCCUCGAUAAAUGUUGACAUAUGCGAAGAUCAUUUCUCGAAUGUCUCCUACUGCCCCGCUCCCGGGCCUUUGCACAGGCUUGCUCCUCUGCCCGGGGCACCCGGUCCCUGCCCCCCUCCCUGCCACCUGGCUGACCUGCGUCUCCUCGUCCUCCUGCUCUCAGCCCUUCCCUGACCCUUCACGUGCACUGGGCUCCUCCAAGCUCCUGCCAUGGUUCCUCACCGCUGCUCGUCAGCCACUGUGGUCACUUCCUGUUUAUAGGCCUGCCCCCCACUGCGCCAGGAAGUCCCAGAGGAAAUGCCGCUUCGUUCAUCUCGGUGGCCCUGCACCCAGCACGGGGUACGGCCCUUAGUGGGUGUUCAAUAAAUAUUGGCUGGUGGACAGAUGGACAGUGGAUAAAGGAAGGGAAGAGCGGGAGCCUUCAAAGAGGAGGCCGGGUGAGCCGAGCAGCAUGAGAGGCAGGAGGCCAAGAUUGCCAGGACAGAGACCAGGGGCAGGGACGCUGAAGGGAGGGGUCCCACCGCCCCCAAAAAGAGGUGGGUCAUACCUGCCAGAGGAUGGGAAACGAGCUGGGACCAGCCAGUGAUAUUUGGGGGGUCAGUCCCCAACCCCUACCAUCAGAGGAUCUCAGACCCCAAGUGACUUUGCCCACCCAUCCCUGGGGUCACAGAGCUGAGCCCCGAGCCUCCUGCCAGCCAGCCCCACAGCGCCUCACCGAGCACGUCUUUCCUGUGCAGAAAGGAUACUUUGCGCAUGACGGCGAUCCUCGUCUUCUCCAGCCCAUCCUUGGUCCCGCUCUUGGCAGCCUUCAUGAGCUGGGUCAUCUGAGCAAAGGCAGAGGGGCUCAUCAGAGAAGCCGAGAGAGGCCCGGGACACCUGCCACCAAGGGCCACCAGCCCCACCCAGGCCUCCCAGCCGGAGCUGCCCACAUCAAGACCCCAGGGCCCUUUCACUUCCCAGGAGGUGGCAGCAGAAGCCAAGAGGGACAGCCAGGCUCAGACACCCUGGGACAAGGUGAGAAGGGGCAUCUGUGCCCCCAGGGAUCACCCUGGAGGAACCUCUUUAUCAGCAAGAAGGGGCCUUCACCCGACUAUCUCCCUUUCGGGGAAAGACUCGAGGCCUGGGUUCAGAUCCCAGCUACACCUCUUGGGACAAGUCACUUAACGUCACUGAGCCUCAGUUUCCCUACCGAGCUGUGCCAGGGUCUGUAGGACUAAGGACAGAGUCCAGGGAAGCAUGCUGAGCAGUAAAAUGACCGGUGCAAAUGUCAGUGGUUACUUUAGGGGAAGUGAGUACACACCCCUAUCCCAUCUGCCAAACCCAAGUGAGGAACCCUCCCUCCCUUGCCCCCCAAACAGCCAAGUUUCUUACUGAGCCAAGGCCUGGGAAGGCGGAGAGGAGGCUGAAGCGGCCACUGGGUGGGGAACAGCUGCCCCUAUGUGGGGAGGGACCCACAGACACCAAGCGGCAAGCGAAGCAGCAUGGGAGGCUUGGGAGGUCGGCGGGCCCGGCGCGGGGAAGCCGGUCCCCCGAGCACCGGGGGGAGCCAGGGCUUGCAAACAGAGCCGCUGACCCCUAGGUGGUUCCUGCACCCCACAGCCCCCAGCCCCAACCUCCGGGUCUUCCCCGACACAGGGUCAGUGCCAUGGGUCGGAACUUCCUACAGUGAUGGAAAUGCCUCCCGUCUGUGUGCACUUGGGGUCCACCAGCCACAGGAACCCCUGGCACUUGAAGAGCAGCUGGUACAACUGAGGACCCAGAGUCCUGACUGUAUUUCAUUGUGACUGACUUAAAUUUAAAUGGCCACAUGGCCGUCGGAAUGGCCCCUGCAGCUCUCUGGAACACUCUUCUCCUUCCUGAGGCUCCCUGAGGAAGGUGGGUGCACUCCUCUGGGGGGCUCCGGUCACUGCCCUUGCUAUCACCGGCCUGCAAACAAGCCCCGGGGCCCCACUCCUGGCACCCCUUGGGCCUCUGGCUUGCAAAAAUAACCCACUGGGUAUUAGGCCUAGGGCACAGGGUGGUGGCUUUUCAGGAACAAUGCUGACAUUCUGGAAACAGCAGGGGCAAGGGGGAAGUCCUCGGGGCCUCCCUGCAUCUAAAUGGUACAAUUUUUCAGCUGUGAUUCUUCGCAUCUUGGGGUGGGGGUUGGGGGGGUCAUAACCACCCGUGAUAACCUAGGGAGAAGGACAGAUGACAACCCCAGAGACUGCACAAAGAUGCUCGCCCUCCUCUGGGGAGCUGGGGCGGGGGGCGGUCCACAACCUCCAGAUUAGAAACCUCUGCUCUGACCCCAGUCCUUUCCUGUCAGAAAGCUAUCCUACAAACUCCCAAAGUGGUCUUCCCUUGGCAUUUCCCCGGGCAAGAAAGAGCAACCACUGAACACCCCAGAAGGGGCCCCCAAGUCAGCCUGCAGCCUCCACCUAUCCUCACAGUGCAGAGGCUGGGCCGGGGUCUGAUUCCAGGGGCGGAGGCCAGGGCGAGAACCCUGGUGGGAGACUCUGAGCUUCACGUGCUCCCUGCUCCUCUGUGGGCCUUGGCCUUCUGAGAAGUGAAGCCUGCCCACCUCGGGUCACAGGGCCCCCGUGGUGUGUCCAUACAAAGGCCGUGCAAACUAGAAAGUGUCUCUGCCCCUCCUCUGGGGAGGGCGUGGGUUCUGACAAACCGGGCAGUGGUGCAGGAUGGAGCCCACUCGGCUUUGGCAUGCACGGACCCGGGUUUGAAUCCCAGCUCUGCCGCUGCCCAGCGCCACGACCGCCAGCCAGGUACUUCACUCACCAGCCUCACUGAUGCCAAGUGACAGCAGUAGGACGGCUGCCUCCCGGACACCCUGGGACAGAACCGUCAGGUGCACAGACCACAGUGGCCACCAGCCACUGAGCUCUUCAGUGGUGCCAAGCGUAGCACUGAGCACCUUACAGGUCUGAGCUCACCGAAUUCUUCUACCCAGCUGGGGGGCUGGUACUGUCGAAGCCCCCAUUUCACAGGUCAGGAAACCAAGGCUCAGAAAGGUCAAGAGGCCUGCCCAGGAUCACACAGACAGGAAGUGGUGGGACUGGGAUUCAAAGCCAGGCCUGCAGGCCUCCAAAGUCCAUAGUACACAGUAGGUGCUCGAUUAAGGGAAGUUCCUGCUGUCGAGGUCAUCAUUAUCCACAAGUCUGAGGCGCCUCUGAGCAGAAGGUGCUGUGAUUUCUCUACAGACUUUCUUACCCUGGAUCUCUCUGAAAGGCUCAGAGGGGCAGGAACGUCCAGCAUCGCUCACUGCUCCAAUGUUUUCAGACCGUGACCCUAACCCCCCGCCAUGGUUAUCAAAUUGGCAGAUCCCUGGGCCUUAGUCCAGACCUCCGGAACCAGCAUCUCUGGGGACGGAGCUCGGGAGUCUGCACGCUCCAGAGCACCCUGGUGAUUCUGCAGGCCCUCGGGUCCACAGACCCACCCAGGAAUUCCGGAAGGCAGCUAAGGUUUGGCCCAGAGAGAGAGGCAAGAAGUGGGGGAGCAGGGGCACGUGUGCCGACUCCCAGCACCCCCGGCCCCAGCACCAAUGUGCGAUGCAGCCAGGGGCUCAGCAACCCCCCUGCAGGGCCCCAGCCGGGACACGGGGGGGGGGGGGGGACAGACAAUACCUUACAAUCGUACUUGUGCUUCAGCGCCUGCAUGUCUCUCCCCCCAGCUCUUAAAGCCAAGAUGUCUUUCUUAGUCCUGGCGCAUCUCUCCUUUAGCCUAGUCAGGUCUGGAGAAAGCUGGAGCCCCCAAGCAGCCAGGCAGAGGGAGAGCAGGUGCGAGGAGCAGGCGGGACGGCAGGAGACAAACAGGGCAACAGAGGAGAAAGGAGACCAGGACAGAUGGGAGGAGCAGCCUGUCUCAGGAGGAAGCAGACGAUCCAUCCUCCUCUUGGCCUUCUCGGCUUCCUCCAUGAAACCAGCAGAAUGAACCCCGUUCCAGGCAGAAACCAAUGCACGGAUGGCAUUUUAAAAGACCUCGGAAAGAGGCCUUCUGGGCAACUGUGUCUUAACCACAGCAGCUCCUGCCCCCUUGCUCACUUGCCCAGGGCGGAGGACUGUACGGGUCGAGGACCUUUCUCAGAAUGCACCCCGCGGGGCAGGGAGACCAAGCUGACUUGAUCUAAGAGCCAACUCUCAUCGGUUGGCUGGGCUGCCUGAAGCCUGUGUUGAGCCUGUGAUUCUGCAGCCAGACCUGAGCCCAUGAGCAUCAUGGUCCCUUGCCAGGGCUGCCAUGGGAACCGGGUGGGGGAGCACCUGUGCCAGGUAGUAGCCACGCCCAUUCCAGGUGUAGGGCUCUCCGAGGUCAAACAGCAAUGCUGAUGGGAUCAUUUCCCGUUUUCAGGAAACUUGGGCUGCGUCCUCUCUCACUGCACAUUCCUGGGGGUCACUAAUUGGGUAGGAGUCUGCGCCUGCCCUCACCACCCUCCUUACCGCCUCCCCAGGGCAUCCCAGCGCCCUGGCUGGGGUGAGAGAAGCCCACCCCCUUACCUUGGGCUGGAAGGACACUCGGUGCUUGGUAGGCUCUGCCUCUGGCUUGGUCUCCUCCCCCGAGUCCUCACUGUAGCUCUCAAACUCACUGGAGCUCCAGCCUAGGUCCUCCGCCUCCCUGGGCCCUCCGUCCCGGUGCACAUCCUCAUAGAGCAGGUUCCUCUCCACCCCUGCGGGGCCGAGGGACAGACCUUGUGAGCCGAGGCUCCAGUGACAAGCCCACCAGACCCAAUUUCUACCCCAGGCAGGCGGGUGGGGGGUGGGAAAUGGGAGGUGGGGGGUGGUCGCGGUUUGGCCCUGCAGCUCCGUCUCUGUUUCCUUGUCCAUUAAACAGAGGUGAUGACCACACAACAUCCACCCGGUAAGUGAGGAGGACACGAGAAAAUGCGGAAAGGCACAAGAAAUGAGUCGGGCACACAAAAACCUCCUUAAUUCCCUGCCGCCACUCCUCAGUCUUGCUCUUCUGGGAUCUGAGUGCUCAUCCUGGCCUCUGAGAAUGUGUUAGCAGGAAAGAGAAGACCUAAAACCAAGUCCUGCCUCGGGCCCUGAGCUCUGGCCCCAGCAUCCUCAGGGGCGAAAUGGAAAUUGUCAGGAGCAUUAAAUGAUGAAGGACACCUCACCCCAAAUCUAAGUUUCCCGUGUGGGUCCCGGAUGGUCCAGCAGGGGGCGUGCCUGACCCAGCAUCCUGGAGUGUCCCCUUGUCUUCCUAAGCCCCACAGGGGAAGUAGGGACAAGAGCUAAAGGUCCACUGGCCAGGAGGGACAGGUCCUCCCCAGGGCCAGGCCACUCCCAUGGUCCCUGUCACCUCUGGAGUGAGGUUGCUUCAAAGCAGAGGUGGAAAAGCCGCUGUCCAAGUAGCCCCAGCUCCAUCCCAGAGACGGGCUUCACUCUCACCCCCCUGGGCUCCACCUCCUGGCCUGUCACCCGAAGAACCAAACUGCAGGUCCCACAAAAGUGAGGCCAGACCCCAAAAGGUACGCAAAGAUGAAGAUGCUUUUGUCCAUGCACAAGAAAUAUAGCAUGAAGGGUUAAAAAAAAAAUCUGCUCAGAACAGGGAGCUUUGGUUGUCGGAGACCUCUCUGCAAGAUGGUGAUAAUAGCAAGCCAUAAGGUCGAGUAAAUAAAAUAUGAACCAAAAGCUGUAGCAAAGAGCCUAGCACAUGGCAGGCACUCAGCAAAGAGCAGCUGGUCCUUGAUCACGGGGUCUCUGGGGGAGCCCAAGUGUCAUCCCACUGACCCAGGGCCCCCACGUCCACCCCACAUGAACGCCAGGGAGUGGGGGGUCUGGGAGGUUGGCACCAAAGAACAAACAGACACGAUGAGGCUUAGCUGGGGACUUAGGUCUCAGGAUGAGGAGGGAGCAUAAGGUUAUUUUUAAGCCAAAAAUAAUAGUGACUAAUGUCUCCAGGGACUGGAACAGCUGGUGACCAGGCUGUGACCUUUACAAGCCUGGGCUGACUGUCUGACCCAUAAGCAGAGGAGCAGAGCCCAGUUCCUGGGGCUCCUUCUGAGGAAGAACCCAGGCAGCAUCUCCAGUACCUACCUCCCUACACUUCCAUGACCCCGGCCUCCCACCCACCUACAUCUGCAGGUGCCGCAUCUCCUGCUGGAUUUUCCUGCAGCCCGAAAGGUUGAUAGGGUGCAAGUAAUCACCUCAUUAGAAAAACAAGAACACAGGGGCCUGGAGAAGACAGGUGGCUGGCCCAAGGUCAGACAGCACGGAGAAGGGGCUGCAGACUCCUAGGCCAGGCUCCAACCAGUCACCACACCGCCUUCUGCUGAGGCCUCCCAGCCCGAUCAUUGCCUGGGCUCAUUUACAAAUACUCUCUCCAGGGGCGCCUGGGCGGCUCAGGUGCUUAAGCAACUGACUCUUGGUUUUGGCUCAGGUUAUGAUUUCAGGGUCCUGAGAUCGAGCCCCACGUCAGGCUCUGCACUCAGAGUGAAGUCUGCUUGUCCCUCCCCCUUGGUCCCUCCCCACCUUGCUUCUGUAAACUCUCUCUUUCUCUUAAAUGAAUGAGUGAAUGAAUGAAUGAAUGAAUGAAAGACUAUCUCCAAUAAAGAGUCAUCAGAUUCCAAA